rnacentral:lncRNA from 1 species
CGAGGUAUUUUUGUCUCUAGUAUUAAUGUUAAUAAAACGUGGGUUCCUUUUAAGUACGAGAAUCUACCGACAUUUUGUUUUGGAUGUGGAAGAAUGGGGCACGGGAUAACAAAUUGCACUCAAAUAAUACCUGCAAGAAAAAGAAAAAUUAGUAUUGAUCCACCUUAUUCGUUGGCUUUAAAAGCAUAAUCAAAAUUAGUUGGAAAAGAAAGUAUGAAACUUAAUGCUAUGACGAAGAAGGUGGGGGUUCAAAGCUCUUACACAGGAGGCAAAGUAGUGUUGACAGAAAAUUCUAAAAUAAUAGAAAAAGAGAAUAACGAGAUUCGGGAAGUACAGGAGUAUAUGGAAUUGAUGGGAGGGAAAGAAAUGAUAAAUGAGCAGGGAAGCAUAUUUGGGUUAGAAGAGGCUAAGAAGGCAAAUGGCAACAAGGUACAAGAGUGUAAAAACGUAAACCAUGAAAAGAAAACGAGCUGGAAAAGAAUAAAACCAAUGGCCACGGUGAUACAAACAAAGGCUGAGAAUAGUAUGGGAAAGAAGAAGUCCUCAGAAUGAGAUCUUGCAAGGAGUGACAAGGGAGAUGUUGAGGUGGACGGAACUAAAAGAUUAAAAAAAUGAUGUUGAAAGAUGUGAUAGAGCCUCCUCAGAAGUGAUGUUAGACUGUUCUGAGCAAUUUGAAAUACAAAAUUUAUUGAGAUCGGCGGCUACCAAGAGGUAAGCUGACCAGAUGCAAUGAAAAUCAUUAGUUGGAAUGUUCGUGGAUUGGGAAGUCCAUGGACAGUAAGGAGGCUGUGUUUUUUCGUAAAACAGCACAAUCCCCAGAUGGUCUUCUUAAUGGAGACAAAGUUACAUAAGCAACGCAUGGAAAAAGUCAGAAGGAGAUGUAGUUUUAUUAAUGGAAUUGAUAUUGAAACAGAGGGUUCGCGAGGAGGACUAUGUUUAGCAUGGAAAGGAGAUACUGAAAUAAGUAGGAAUCAUAUUGAAGUUAUGGUUAAAGAAGACAAUGAUGAAGCAGAAUGGAGGUUCACGGGGUUCUAUGGUUCGCCCUAUGUUAAUAAUAGCAGUGCUACGUGGAAUCUGCUAAAGAAAUUGGGGCAAGAUAGAAGUCAUCCAUGGUUGGUAAGUGGUGAUUUUAAUGAGAUCAUGUAUUCUUAUGAAAAAUGUGGGGGUGAACCUAGGGAAGAGAGUAGAAUGGAGGCCUUUCGAGAGGCUUUAGAAUAAUGCCUACUAGAAGACUUGGGAUAUUUGGGGGUUUGGUUUACUUGGGAAAGAGGAAAUUUACCAGAGACAAACACUAAAGAAAGACUUGACAGGGGAGUGGCAAAUGACAAAUGGAGGCAGUUAUUUUCAACAGGUAACAUCAGACACCUAACACACUCAAUGUCUGACUAUUGCCCACUUCUUAUAAACACAAAAUGUGGAAAUUCUUAUAAGGGCAAUUCAAAAUUUAAAUUCGAGGCGUGGUGGCUCAUGGAGGAAACUAUUAAGGAAGUAGUUAAAGAAUCUUGGGAGUCAAGAAUAGGUACAGUUGCUGAAAAACUCGAAAGACUACAAGCAGACUUAAAAAUAUGGGCAAAAUCAAUAAAAGAACGGCGAGAGGGAUUGAAGAAAAAGCUUACAAAGCAACUUGAUACGUUAAUGGUGUAAGAAAGGACUGACGACACAAUGGCAAAAGUCAUCGAUACCAAAAUCCACCUGAAUAUGGAAAUAUAUAAAGAUGAAAUUUACUGAGAACAAAGGGCAAUGGCAAAUUCGCUUAAAGCAGGAGAUAGGAAUUCAACUUUCUUUCAUAGGUUUGCAACAUAUCGAAGAAACAUUAAUACCAUAUCAAAGUUAGAACUUGAUGGAGGAGGAGAGGUUAUCGAAGUUACUGAGAUUAAUGAAGCUACUACUAUGUACUUUCAGAAGUUAUUCACGUCAAAUGGAGUAGGAGACCCUUUUUAUCUUCUAACGGGCAUUAAAAGUAAUAUUCUGGUAGAAAUCAACAGAGUUCUGAUGUCAAAAUAUACAACAGAAGAAGUCUAUGAGGCUCUGAAAGGAAUGGGACCCAUUAAAGCAUUAGGACGUGAUGGUUUUCUAGUAAUUUUCUUUCAGAAGUAUUGGCACAUUGUAGGUAAGGAAAUUUCUAACUUUUGUUUGGGAAUUCUAAAUAAUGGGGAAAAUUUUGGACCUUUUAAUCAAACAGAGAUCGUGUUGAUUCCAAAAAUUCCUAAUCCCACUAGCCUAGCUAAUUUCAGACCCAUUAGUUUGUGCUCAGUUUUUUAUAAAAUGGUGGCGAAAACAAUUGCAAAUCGACUACAAGUAGGUAUUGGAAGAUGUAUUGAUGUGGCUCAAAGUGCGUUCGUCCUAGGAAAGCUAAUUACAGAUAAUGUGCUUCUUGCGUAUGAGAUUUUGCAUACAUUUCGACAAAAGUGCAGGGGAAAAAAUGGAUACAUGGCAGUAAAGCUUGAUAUGAGUAAAGCUUAUGAUAGGGUAGAAUGGGGCUAUAUAAAAGAAGUCAUGUUAAGAAUGGGUUUUGCGAAGGAAUGGGUGGAGCUGGUUAUGAAAUGUAUAUCUACAACGUCCUAUGUAGUCAAUACAAAUGGAGGAAGUGGACGAAGCUUUAAGUCGACAAGAGGAUUACGAUAGGGAGAUCCUCUAAACCCUUUUCUAUUUUUAAUGUGCAGCGAGGGAUUAUCAUCGUUGAUGAGAUUGGUAAUGAAGGAAGGAUCGUUAAGAGGUGCAAAAGCAAGUAGAAGAGGCCUAGAAAUUUCACACUUACUUUUUGCAGAUGAUUGUAUUCUGUUUGGGGAAGCAUUAGUCAGAGGGCAAAUGUGCUAAAAGAAAUAUUGAAGAUGUCUGGAAAGUGUUCUGGCCAAUGUGUAAAUUUCAAUAAAUCUACAGAAGAAAAAAAGAAAGAAGUCUCGGUAAUUCUGGGGAUAAGGACCUCAACAAAUAUGGAAAGAUAUUUAGGUUUCCCGAAUGUGGUUGGCAGACGGAAAAAAAUCUUUUCAGCAUCUCAAAGAGAAAAUACAUACCAGAAUUGAAGGAUGGAGUACCAGAAUGUUAUCGCAAGGAGGCAAGAAAGUAUUUCUAAAGUCGAUACUACAGGCUAUUCCAACCUAUGCUAUGUCUUGUUUCUUGUUACCAAAGUCAUUAUGCAGAGAUAUAGAAAGCAUUUUUGCUAAAUUCUGGUGGCAAAAAUCCCACGGAAGAAGAGGAAUUCAUUGGUGUCAAUGGAAAUAUUUGUGCCGGUCAAAAGAAGAAGGUGGUUUGGGCUUUAGAGAUAUGGCUAAAUUUAAUGUCUCACUAUUAGCCAAACAGGGAUGGAGAAUCUUGAACAAUCCAGAUUUCUUAUUAGCUCAAGUUUUAAAAGCAAAAUAUUUCUCGAAUGUUAAUUUCUUAGACUCACGAUUGGGGAACAAUGCUUCGUAUACAUUGAAAAGUAUUUGGGCUACAAAGGGCACUCUAGAGGAAGGUCUGUGUUGGAAGGUGGGAAGGGGAACGCAUAUUUCAGUUAGCAAUGACUUUUGGAUCCCAGAUGUGCAAAAAGAGCAGGUUAUCAGCUUUAAAUACAAAUUUGAAUGAUUUUAAAGUUACCGAUUUAAUUAAUCAAAGUAACAAAACAUGGAAGAAAGAGUUGAUAAUUUCUACCUUUCCGGAGGAUGUAGCUGAGAAGAUUAUUGGCAUCCCAUUGGCAGAAGAACCUUAUGAUGAUUUUCGGGUCUGGAGUGCAGAGGCAUCGGGCGAAUUCACAGUGCGAAGUGCCUAUAAACUAUUACAAAGUAUUGAAGAUGAUCCUAGAGCUUACGCUUUACAAGAUGGCUAUAAGGAAUUUUACAAAAAAUUAUGGCUCUUGAACCUUCCUUCAAAAAUCAAAAUUACAAUUUGGAAGAUAUCAUGGAAUUUCCUAGCUAUACGAGUUAAUAUGCUUCAAAAAAAGCUAACAAACAUAAUAGUAUGUCCACGCUGUGGAGUUGGAUCAGAGAAUAUGGACCAUAUUUUCCGUGAAUGCCCUGUUUCAAUUUCAGUAUGGAGGGAAUUACCAUGCAAAGUUUUUUUGCAAGAAAGUCAGUUGGAGUUUGUACAGUGGCUAACCUGGGUAUUUGCGAAGAACUCAGCAUCACAAUGUAGGAUAUUCUGCUGUGCAUUAUGGGUAAUUUGGGGAGAUAGAAAUGACAGAGUGCACAAAAAAAGUGAGUAAAU